AUGAGGCAUCGCAUGCAUCUGGGGGGCAUGGUGGACUGGUCCUCCCUCCCGUCCGACCUCGUCAACCACAUCGCCGAUUGCUUCCUGGCCACCAACGACCUCGACUAUUACAUGGACUUCCGCGCCGUUUGCCGCAACUGGCGCUCCGCCACGGACGACCCCAACAACCCCGAAGUCCGUUUCCGCCCCCGCCGGUGGAUGGCCGUCGACGACGGGCUAUAUCUCAACAGCCGUGACUCCCGUGUCCUUGCCAACACCGUCACCGGCCGCAUCCUUCGCAAGGAUCUACCUCUGCUCCGCAAUUACUUUGUUAUCGCUGCUACCCACGGUGGCUUCUUUGUUCUCGCUGACAGGAAGCCCCCUCACGCUGUGCUCAUCCUCAACCCGUUCACGGGCCACAUGAUUCGCUUCAUUGCUGCCGUACCUUCCUACAGCAUGAAAGAUGUUCUUGCUGCCGUCUCCGGUUCUGCCCCGACCCUCAUCCUGAUUUCUGACGAAAUUUGUGCGGAGUACAGGGCUGAUCCUGCCAGUGAGUGUUUCUCCGUGUACAAACAAGUGGACACUUAUUCUGUGUCCAACCGGCUGGCCGUCAUGGGUGGUAUCUACGCCGACGGUGAGCACGGAUCAGUGGCAACCAUUCCAACUGUUGUGGCAAGCAAGAUCUACGAACUGAUUGCCAUGUUUCCCGAGCCUUCUCAGGUGCCAGCUGACGUUAUUGUGGAGGAUCACCCUGUUGAUGCUCAGCCACCGAACACGGUAUCCGCAGGCCGCUAUUCCCUAGCCGAAUUCGCUGGAGAAGUAUUUAUUGUUGUUAACCUACAACAUCAAAUGGUGGUCUUCAAACUGGACAAUGAGAGUGAAGCACUUGUGCCUGUGAAGAGCAUCGGGAACCUCGCCAUCUUCAUCGGCUACCACAGCUGCUUCAUCGUUAACGCAGACAAGUUCCCAACUAUCGACGCCAACUGCAUCUACUAUCAAAAAUCUACAGAUAUAUUUCUCUUCGUUGACAUCUGCAAGUUUGACCUCAAGGACCAGAAAGAAGAGAGGCCGCCGCCCCCUCUCCGUCCUUUCAACCCCAAAUCCACGGCUCCAUCGCCGCCAUUAGCCUCUUCCUCGCUCCCCCGAACCCGAACCCUAGCAUUGCGUCAGCAACUCGUGCAGAUCCAUCCGUCCCCAUCACACGGCGAGGCGGUGGGAGCCGGCGGCGUGCUCGAGGUCUUUUUUCGAGGACCGCGCAUCGGUGACGCGGCCAUGAGGGAGGAGGGCGACGGGAGCAGCGAGAGGCGGCGGCCGCAAGGCAGCGGCAUCUUCGCAGAUCGAUCCAUAAGGGCGGAAUGGGAGUCGCUUCAGCCGGAGCUCGUCCAGCUCAUUGCCGACCGCGUCCUCUCCACCAGCGGCGUCGACGAGUACUUGGCCAUGAGGGCCGUCUGCCCCGGCUGGCGCUCUGCCGUCUCCAAGCCAUCUCCGCACGCCGCGGUCGCCGACCUCCGUUUCCGCCCACGGCAGUGGGUCAUUCUCCAUGAGGAAUCGGAGGACAAAGGGCCGCUCUUCCUCAACGUCUCCACGGGGCGCUUCCGCCACCUGCGCCGCCCUGUGCUGCGUGACUACAUCUUCGUCGGUGCAUCCGACGGUCUCCUGGUCCUCGGGGACAGGGAGCGCCCGCAUGCCGCUCGUCUCCUCAACCCAUUGACUGGUGGCAUGCUUCCCUUUGCAGCGCCAAUACCUUUGGAACCAUGGCUGAAGGCUGCAAUCGCUGGCCCCAAACAAACGAUUAUCUUCUCUUUCGAACCAUUACAUGGGGAAUACAGAGAUUUGCCGGCUCAUUGUUCUCCGCAGGCAGGCGGUGACGCUGUUUACUCUACUGAUCCCACGGGCCAGCUCAGUCCUGUGAAGCUCCAUGAUGCUGCUUACAAAGAGGGACACUUGCUCUACCUUCUGAGCAUGGUCACCUAUGCAGGCAAUGUUUACGUGCUCAUUUCUAAAGGAACUCUGUGCAAGAUCGUUUGGACCGGUGGCCACUGGUACACGGAGCGGAUAUUGCAGAUUGACAUGAAGCGCACCGGUAGUCUCGUGGAGUUUGCCGGUAAACUGCUUCUUGUUAUAGAGGAAUCCAAAACCAUUGAAGUUUUCAGCGUGGAUGUCAAGCGGAAGGUACUUGAACCAAUCAACAGUAUUGGCAGCAGCGCGCUCUUCAUAUGUUUUGGCAAGUGCAUGGCUGUUGACGCAGAUAAGCUUCCUUCCAUCAAGCGCAACUGCAUUUACAUCACUACUACUUUUGAGAGCGUAUACAACUUGUAUGACCUUAGUGACGGCAAGAAGAAAUGCAUCACCAGCAACCAGGUGCCUCGAGAUGGUCCUCGAGCUGAAAGUUAUACCAUUCAUGAAGGCCCUUUGAGCCUUGCUCAGAGUAUCAGACACUACAUGGUUACACUGGGGCAAUCUGCUGUUGGCACACAUUCCAUCUUGGCUGUUGGCUGCAAUCUGCUGCAGCUGAAGCCUGAAGGAUACCAAAACCUGAUGUCAAUGGCAGAAGCACCAGCAGCAGAGCCAAUCCCCUCAAGUGGCGUCGACGAGUACAUGGCCAUGAGGGCCGUCUGCCCCACCUGGCGCUCUUCCGUCGCCAAGCCAUCUCCGCACGCCGCGGUCACCGACCUCCGUUUCCGCCCACGGCAGUGGGUCUUACUCAACGGGGCAGACGACGACGAAGACCGGCCCCUCUUCCUCAACGUCACCACAGGACGCUUCCGCCGCCUGCGCCUCCCGGUGCUCCGUGACUACAUCCUCGUCGGUGCACCCGACGGUCUCCUCGUCCUGGGGGACAGGGAGGGUCCGCAUGCCGCUCGUCUCCUCAACCCAUUGACUGGUGACAUGCUUCCUUUUGCGGCGCCGAUACCUCCGGGGUCUCGGGUGGCGAUAGCGAUCGCUCUCGCUGGCUCCGAACCAACGAUUAUCUUCUCAUUCCCACAGAUCUUCUGCAAAUACGUAUUGCUCGGUGGUAAUGCGGUGGUUUAUUCUGCUGAUCCCACGGGCCAGCUCCACGCGGUGAAGAUUCAUGAUGCUGCUUUGAAGGAGGAAGAGUCGUUCUGCCUCCGGAGCAUGGUCACCUGUGCAGGCAAUGUUUAUGUGCUCAGUUUGAAAGGAAUGUUAUAUAAGCUCGUUUGGACCGGUGGCCUUUGGUAUGCUGAGAGGAUACUGGAGAUUGAAAUGCACUACACUGGUGCUCUCGUGGAGUCUGCUGGUAAACUGCUGGUUGUUAGAGUGGAUCUCGAAAUCACUGAAUUUUUCAGGGUGGACGUUGAGCGGAAGGUACUUGAACCAAUCGAAAGUAUCGGCAGCUGUGCGCUCUUUCUAAGUUUGGGCAGGUGCAUGUUAGUUGACGCAGAUAAGGUUCCUUCCAUCAAGGGCAACUGCACUUACGGCAGUUUUGGUGGAAACAAGUUUUAUAACAUGUACACCAGGUAUGACCUCAGCGAUGCCAAGAAAGAAAGCAUCACUGGCCCCCAGGUGCCUGGUUAUCUCUCAUGUUUGAUAGCUGAUAGUGAUAUCACUCGUGAAGGUCUUUUGAGCCUUGCUCAGCGAGGUUGGGAAGACGCGGUUUACUCUGCUGAUCCCAAGGGCCAGUUACGUGUGGUGAAGUUUCACGAUGCUGCUUCGGACGAUCUAGGCUUGUUCUUCCUUCGGAGCAUGGUCACCUAUGCAGGCAAUGUUUAUGUGCUCAGUUCUGGAGGAACUUUAUGCAAGAUCGUUUGGACCGGUAGCCACUGGUAUGGGGAGCGAAUAUUGGAGAUUGGCAGGGAAGACACUGGUACUCUCCUGGAGUGUGCUGGUAAAUUGCUGCUUGUGAGAAAGGACUCCGAAAUCACUGAAGUUUUCAGUGUGGAUGUCGAGCGGAAGGUGCUUGAACCAAUCAAAAAUAUCGGCAACAGUGCGCUCUUCCUGAGUUAUAGCAAGUGGAUAGUAGUUGAUGCAGAUAAGCUUCCUUCCAUUGACGGCAACUGCAUUUAUAGCGCUGAUGCUGGACACCAAUUUGAUAGCAUGUACGUGAGAUAUGAGUCAUAUGACCUCAGCGACGGCAAGAGGAAAUACGUCAACUGCCCUCAGGUUCCUCAAGAUGUUUGUGGAGCUGAAAGCGGUACAAUAUAUGAAGGACCUUUGAGCCUUGCUCAGGACUUGACUGCAGAAUGCCAAGAUGCUGGAUUUGUUGUUUGCUGGGCACAAGUUGCUGCAGCUUCUGCUGGCUGA
rnacentral:rRNA from 1 species